UUUAUGGAGAGUUUGAUCCUGGCUCAGGAUGAACGCUGGCGGCGUGCCUAAUACAUGCAAGUCGAGCGAACGGAUGAGAAGCUUGCUUCUCUGAUGUUAGCGGCGGACGGGUGAGUAACACGUGGAUAACCUACCUAUAAGACUGGGAUAACUUCGGGAAACCGGAGCUAAUACCGGAUAAUACUUUGA
rnacentral:rRNA from 1 species